GACGAAUGCUGGCUGCGUGCUUAACACAUGCAAGUCGAACGGUGAAGGAGAGCUUGCUCUCCGGAUCAGUGGCGAACGGGUGAGUAACACGUGGGCAACCUGCCCCUCACUCUGGGAUAACGCCGGGAAACCGGCGCUAAUACCGGAUACGACCAGGCGCGACAUCUCGCCUGGUGGAAAGAAUUUCGGUGAGGGAUGGGCCCGCGGCCUAUCAGCUUGUUGGUGGGGUAACGGCCCACCAAGGCGACGACGGGUAGCCGGCCUGGGAGGGCGACCAGGCACACUGGGACUGAGACACGGCCCGGACUCCUACUGGAGGCAGCAGUGGGGAAUAUUGGGAAAUGGGCGAAAGCCUGACGCAGCGACGCAGCGUGAGGGACGACGGCCUUCGGGUUGUAAACCUCUUUCAGCGGGGACGAAGCGAAAGUGACGGUACCCGCAGAAGAAGCACCGGCUAACUACGUGCCAGCCGCCGCCGUAAAAC
rnacentral:rRNA from 1 species